rfam:Tolypothrix sp. PCC 7601 strain TTEX B 481 genomic scaffold FDTTEX481_Contig1, whole genome shotgun sequence.
CGGUAGAUGCACCCUGAUAACUAACUCCCCUAGUAGGCUCAUACCUACUGGGGGUUUUUUCU